rnacentral:misc_RNA from 1 species
GAAAUGCGAUAAGUAAUGUGAAUUGCAGAAUUCAGUGAAUCAUCGAAUCUUUGAACGCACCUUGCGCUCCUUGGUAUUCCUUGGAGCAUGCCUGUUUGAGUAUCAUGAAAUCUUCAAAGUAAAUCUUUUGUUAACUCAAUUGUUUUCUACUUUGGUAUUGGAGGUCUUUGCAGCUUCACACCUGCUCCUCUUUGUUCAUUAGCUGGAUCUCAGUGUUAUGCUUGGUUCCACUCGGCGUGAUAAGUUAUCUAUCGCUGAGGACACUGUAAAAGGUGGCCAAGGUAAAUGCAGAUGAACCGCUUCUAAUAGUCCAUUGACUUGGACAAUACUUUUAUGAUCUGAUCUCAAAUCAGGUAGGACUACCGGCUGAACUUAAGC